rnacentral:tRNA from 1 species
GGGCGGUUAGCUCAGCUGGUUAGAGCGCAUCAUUGACGUUGAUGAGGUCACAGGUUCGAAUCCUGUAUCGCCCA